AGGACAGUAAGUCACUUGUUCUGUUCUCAAUCUACCCUCCAAAUUUCCUUCUCCCUCUGUAUUAGAAUGUUAGAGCUGCCAGACAGGUAGAAUCAUGUCUCCACUGUGAUUUUACUUUAAAUGUCCUGCUGUCAUUAUUUCAAACAUUUUUUCCCCUCUUUAUUUUCUCUUCACAUGAGCAUACAUGUUUGCCAGGCACGUUCUUGCUUUUCUUUUUUUCUCUUAUUUUCCGUCCCUCCUGCCCUUGUUUUCUUUCCUUCUCUCUGACUGUGGAAACUGUCAGGUGGCCUGGCUGGCAUCCUCUUACCUUUUGGGGAACUGUGCUACCCAGAGACCUCCGUUUAUUAUGCCUCGGGCGCUCUUUCUUUAAUGCUGCGUCUCUCUGAGGGAUAGUUAAUGAUCUUUGCAGCAAAUGAAGGUGAACUGUAGCUGCAUUAUUGUUAUAAUACAGCCAACUGUACGGAACAGAUUGGGCUGAGCUUUGAACAGCUGGGGCUGGCAGAGUGAGUCUUGACUCCUCUCGGAACAGUUCCAGAACCGCCAAAUCAUCAAACUUGAAGGGGAAAGAGGGACAAGAAAGGUUAUAGGGAGAGUGGUUCCUGCAGGUGCUUUUUUGCCUUUGCGAUCUACCUUUUUGAAAUUUUCACGGGUUUGUCGAUCUGGCAAAGCACAGACUAAUUGAACCCAGGGGCUGCUGUCACUGCUCUUGGACUUGCCUGCUUAGUGGCUGGGAUGGUAUUUUAUUGUUCAUUUGCAGGUACCGAGCCUGUCCUAGAUAGAUGCUUCUGUUAAAGCGUGUACCCCUCUUUAGUCCACCGAAACUGUGUGUAGUUUUAAGGAGAGGUUUGAUUUGCAAAGUAUUUGAUUUCUCUAGAACUAUAAUCUCCCCUGGUAAAUGCCAGCUGAAGCUGAGGAAGAGCUACCUGCUACCUGCCUUGAGGGGGCAAGGCAGGGGCUUUGCAGCUCACCAGAGUCCUCACCUAGCACCCAUGCACUUAGUUCUUGACGAGAGUCUGUAGGGGAAGAUCAGGAGAGAGCAGGCCAGGGCUUUGGGAUGGAGAAGAAUUGGGUUUCACUUCUAGCUUCACUGCCAGCUUUGCCUUUUGGGGUAAGUUCCUUAGCUUUCUGAGUCUCUCUUUCCCUGUGUAUAAAGUGGGAAUAUGAUUCUUUACCUUAGGAUUGUUGGAAAGAACUUUAAGUGAGAUAGGAUAUUCGACACUCUUUCAAAAGAGCUACGUCCAGGCCUAGUAGGAUGGUAUACGCAUUAGCUCGCAUUGUCAUUUUCAGCUGCUCUGUAUCAGAGUGACUGGAGACCAGUUGUUGAGAGUCGUAUUGACUGUGUUAUAAAAUGAGAUAGACACUUGCAUUACUCAGGACCAUGAGGGGAGUGUCUGGGCUUCCUGUAUUUCUGUUUCGGUCCUGCAACAGAGAAUUUACAUUGUCUCUAGGGGGAAAUGAUACAGUAGAGACUGAGUUCUUAGGGGUGGCGUUACUUACAGAGAGAAAAGGCUUAUAAUUUAGUUCACAUUAGGUAGACCGUGGGUUCGCUCUUGACUGGUCUAACCUCCUGAAGCUUCUGUCUCCCCAUCCCUAUCCUCAUAGAGAUAACAUUCAAAUCAGGUUCAUGACAGCUCUGAGUACUGAAGGUGACCAGAAGCUUCAUGGAAGGAAAGGUUCAGAAAUGAGAGCACUGCGUCGGUUGAUACGGUUUCUUAAAAGUGGGAGUUGACUUUAGGCUUUGUUAGGCUUGUAAUCUAGGAAAGACAGUUUAUCAGCACUUUGGGCACACUGAUUCUUUGACAUUUCAAAGGACUUUUUCUACAUUAUUGCACUCAGUUGGUGUCUUUUCUCUCUAGCCCCCGACCUUUGAUCUAUUAGAAGCUUCCAGCACGCAUUUGACGGCCACAUUAGGUGGGCUUCCUGGUUAUUAUAUAUGCAGUGUACAAGUACAGGUUCCCCCCCCCCCCAGUUUUUCUACUUCCUGUAGAGACGGAUUUCCUUUAGGUGUGGAUAUUUCACUUAAACACAUACUCCGAUUUCAAAAUGGUAAGGGACACCAGUGCAGUAAUUUUAGUGUACUUUGUGAAGGUAUCUGGAAAAGUCUGCUGUAUUCCAGUGAAAAGCUUCUUAGAAGGAAGCUAGGGGGCUAGCAAAUGUCAAGGCAGGUCUAGGACCCAUGGGAGGAAAUUUGCAUAAAAAACUUUGUCAGUAGCUCAGCUAUAGAGUUCAGAAUUCAGGCUGUGUCCUGUGUACGACCAGUUACGUUUUCAUGUCCUGUCUUAAAUCUUAGAUGAGUCAAUGUCAUCAUUACGAUAGAUGGUCCCUGAACAAAAGGCAUGAAUGAAGAAAGCCUUACUUUAAUGUUUAGAGCCUUACUUUUAAAAGCUGUCUGAGUGGACAUGUAGGUCUACCUCUGGACCUUGAAAUUAGGCCCAAACCCAGAUCUGGGCCCAAAAGAUUACUCAAGCCCCUUCUCAUUCCUGCCUCCAUCUGACAUUGUUCAGGGAAAGAGGGAAGGAGGUAGAGGAAGACAAUGGGAGAAUUUAGAAAAUGAAUAUUCUCUACACUUUAUAACCCUCUGUCUAAAUCACUGAAAACAUUGUGGUAUGUUUAUUUAUUUUUUUUUUAUUUUUCUUCUUUGGGCCACACCUGUGGCAUAUGGAAGUUCCCAGGUCAGGGAUGGAAUCUGAGCCGCCGCUGCGACCUGUGCCACAGCUGCAGCAAGGCUGGAUCCUUAACGCAUUGUGCCACAUUGGGAACUGUGAGGUGUGUUUAAAUCUAAGGAAACAGUGCAGUUGAUCCAUAUGAAGUCGUCAGUAUUUUAGUUCUACAAAGAGGGUAGUUUUGCGUAGUUCAACUGAUUAUAAUUAGUACAUUUUUUGCUAGAAUUUCUAUAGGUCCCCUAGCUGGGUGUAGGAAGUGGUUUUAAGCCAGAAAUGUUUUGGCAUCCAAUCGGUGAUUAUUUUGCAUGAAUUUUGCUAGGCUACACAGGUAUUUUCUGAAAUAUUUCUCAGGCAUUUUUUUCUGAAAUUAGAGUUGGUGCCUCAGAUCUCAUAGUAGAGGAGACGGAAGGUGCAACAGUGUGAGGGGGCCGAUCCAGUGGGGUCUUAUCAUUCAUGAGGAGGACAUGCCGGGCAGGCUGGGUUUAGUUGUGAGGCCUCAAAGCUUUUGAUCUUCGCUGGUUUCAUGUUUGUUUUGUUUUGAAAGUAAGAAAUGGAUGUGAAAGCAUGAAAAGCUCUGCACACAGACAUGAUAUGUUACAUGUCCAUGUUAGGGUGGACUGACCCUUGUUGAAAGUUGUGAAGUUUGCUCAAGAAGGCAUUCCCCCCCCCACCCCGCUUCUUUUUUUGUGAGUCAGAAUGAGUCCAUGAAAACACAUUCACUUAGACAAGAAAAAUGAAAAGUACCUGAGAAAGCCUGGAGGUAGUGAAAUCAAUGGUCCCACGUGGGUGGCAUUGGGCUGGCGUGUGGAUGUGUAUAUAUGCACGAUUCUUGGGGGAGGCUGGUUCCGACUGAAAGAGACAGAUGCUUCCUGGUUUUCAAAGCCUCUUUUUUUUUUUUUUUUUUUUCCCUGCUGUUUUAUUUUAAGGCGGGUUGCCUUUCGGAUCUGUCAGUGAGGGCGUGGUGAGCCUCCAGGCACUUGCACCCACCUCUGUAACUUGCUGUCCUUUGCUUAGUAUCGAGUGGAAGUGCGAAGCACCACAAACUGCUUUGAGCAGAGCCCACUUCCCUUCACCCACAGAGACCGUGAAGCAGUUACACCAACAUCAAUCAAGGAAAACCCACAGGCUGAACUCACACCGUUGAAGCAGGUGCGUGAGUGAGCAUUCUCCAGCAGGCGCACGUGACUGAGGCGCGCCUCGGCGUCUUGCCCGCAGAUGUCAGUUACGGUGGCUGUGGGGGGCGGUGCCCGCUGCUCACAGAGCCCAGGCGAGCCUGUCGUGCUUGGAGGGCAGAGGAAGUGUGGCUCCGGGCAUCUCAGUAGCUGAUGUACUGAGACCGGGGGGAAAAGUGCAAGGUCUAAUAUCUGUGUGUGUACAUAUAUUAAUAUAUAGCAAAUAUAGGUAUGUAUAUGGAUGUGGGCAUACACGUGUAGAUAUGUGUGUGUGUGUGUGUGUGUAGGCACACACAUGCCAUUUUAAAGCAAAACUCAAGUGGGCCAGGAGAUAAAGAGAGAAUAUGCACAUCUAAGACAUUCUUCACUAUCUGAUGAUAAGAGAAGGUGAUAAUCUUAAAAAGGCACAUUUCUCAUCCCAAGUUGCACCAUCCUGAUACAUAGUGAGCUUCAGGAAAUGUCUACAAAACUUUGGCAUGAUCU
rnacentral:lncRNA from 1 species